UGUAAGUAACUAUGCACGUCUUGACGGUACCUAAUCAGAAAGCCACGGCUAACUACGUGCCAGCAGCCGCGGUAAUACGUAGGUGGCAAGCGUUAUCCGGAAUUAUUGGGCGUAAAGCGCGCGGAGGCGGUUUUUUAAGUCUGAUGUGAAAGCCCACGGCUCAACCGUGGAGGGUCAUUGGAAACUGGAAAACUUGAGUGCAGAAGAGGAAAGUGGAAUUCCAUGUGUAGCGGUGAAAUGCGCAGAGAUAUGGAGGAACACCAGUGGCGAAGGCGACUUUCUGGUCUGUAACUGACGCUGAUGUGCGAAAGCGUGGGGAUCAAACAGGAUUAGAUACCCUGGUAGUCCACGCCGUAAACGAUGAGUGCUAAGUGUUAGGGGGUUUCCGCCCCUUAGUGCUGCAGCUAACGCAUUAAGCACUCCGCCUGGGGAGUACGACCGCAAGGUUGAAACUCAAAGGAAUUGACGGGGACCUG
rnacentral:rRNA from 1 species